ACGGAGAGAUGACCGCGAUGUGCCUCCUGUGCUGCCACCAACCAUCUGCUUCUCCCUCCAGCUGCAGUUUGUCACCAGGCUUGUAAUUAAGUUAUGAUUUUGUGAAAGUUGAAGGAGAACUUGUAUCAAAGUUGGGAAGAGCCUGACUGAAGGGAGAAGACAAAUUAGGGGGCCUAAAUGUCCUUGACUGAAGGGGAGGAGUAGAUUUAGAGAAGCUGGAGAGGAGAGUGAAGGGGACUGUGAAGAAAGGCAAGCCAACGUUUAUGAAAGCUCCUGAAGAUCAGAUUGGGAUUUCUGGAGGAGUGGCCUCUUUUGUGUGUCAGGCAACAGGGGAGCCCAAACCUCGCAUCACAUGGAUGAAGAAGGGGAAGAAAGUCAGUUCUCAGCGUUUUGAGGUUAUUGAGUUUGAUGACGGGUCAGGAUCAGUUCUGCGGAUACAGCCCCUGCGCGUUCACCGAGAUGAAGCUAUCUAUGAGUGCACAGCAACCAAUAGCGUUGGGGAGAUAAACACGAGUGCCAAAUUAACAGUGU